CAGGACUCGCAAGACUCCUACAACCCUGUGAACUUAACUAUAAGCACGUUGCUUCGGCGGGUGUCUCGGCGGAGGGUCCCCACUGGGCCCUGCGGGGCGCGAAGCCCGCCGGCAGCCUACUAUACUCUGUCUCUUUGCGUUGGCAUCUCGAGUACAAGCAAACAAGUUA
rnacentral:misc_RNA from 1 species